AGUAAUAUUCAAGAACCAUGAGGCUGGUAUCUGUGUUGAUAUAGUUAAUUCCGUCAUUAGAAUUAAGCAGUUCAACUAUAAUUCAACCAAUAACUGAUGUGUUAAUCACAUACAACAUGCAGUGUGUCAGCGGUGCUUUGAUAUGUUAUGUAAAUGGUAAGGCACAGGGAGUAGUGGUCAGAACUCACACAUUCACCCUUUGCUACUGUAGACAGCAGGUGUUUGAGCCUUGCCUAUCAGCUGGGUGUGACGAUAUGUUAAAUUGGUUUCUAAUUUAAAUCAUUUCAACAUCUUUUGGUAAGAUUAGAGCUUCAGCUGUUAAAUUAAUGAGUGAAUAAGUUAAUUCAGAAAGCAAAGCUAAAAGCCAAAGACCUGUGGAAAGACUCUUCCUUCCCAUUUUUCAUCUUCUUUAUGUUCACCUGCUCUCUUCUGUUCUCUUUCCAAUGCUCUCCCACUCGAGCUGGGGCUGGAUUUUCCAUGGUCGGGGCUCCGCGGUGCAUCUCUCCCAGGAACCUGUGCCCAAGUGAUCUCAAAGGUUUGCAGUGACGGACAGUUCCUGGUCUUCGGCUUUGAUCCUUCGGUUGGAACCUGCUGAUAGGAAAGCUGACUUAACUGAUGGCACAAGUGUACUCUGAACCAGAACCCACUUCGGUCUUCACCGUGACAGCCUGAGCCCUGCUGACUGAGAGGCGGCAUUUUGAUCUUCCUCACUUAAGGUAUGAGCU
rnacentral:lncRNA from 1 species